rnacentral:SRP_RNA from 1 species
GCUGGGUGUGGUGGCGCGUGCCUGUAAUCCCAGCUACUCGGGAGGCUGAGGAAGAAGAAUCACUUGAACCCAGGAGGCAGAGGUUACAGUGAGCCAAGAUGGCGCCAUUGCACUCUAGCCUGGGCAACAGAAUGAGACUCUUUCUCAU